UUUAGUAAAUAUUGGUUGUAUAAUUUCUAAAAGAAUAUCAUUGUAAUAUGAUUGUAUCAAUUUUGAAUACAGAGAUGGAUUUCGUCUCAUAUGGUAUCAGAGCAACAUUUUUUUUGAAGUCCUGUUUGAGUCUUCUGUGUGCUUUGAUUUCUUUCCUCCCCACAAUGCUUUCACUCUAUGUCUCGAUCUCCCUCUCAAAACUACUCCAUCUCUCUCAGUACAGUUUCUCUCUCUCUUGAUCUCUUCCGACGAAAUCUGUCUGGAAUCUCUACUAAAAAGAUCACCUGUGCAACCUGCUGUGCUUACUGCUGUCAUCCGCGCCGGAAUCUGGCUGGAAUCUCGGCCCCAAAUUUCUCUAUUUUCUUGCCCCUAAAUUUCUCUACUUUUCGCAUUGGAAUCUGGUCAAAACUGUCUCUCUCUCUAUUGAUCUCUCCCAACGAAAUCUGGUCGGAAUCUGACCGGAAUCGCCUGUGCUUGCAACCUGUUGUCAGCCCUCUGUGAUUUCUGGCCGAAAUCUGAUCGGAAUCUCUACUAAGAUCGUCAGUGCCACCCUCUAUGGUUUCUGGCUGAAAUCAGUACGGGAAUCAGCUUCUGAAUUCGCUGCCUUCUUUAUGCCGGAAUCUUGUCUCUCAAUCUCUGUUCUCGAUCUCCGACCACCCUCUCUCUGAUCUCCCUCUCUCUCUCAUUGCAAUCUCUCUCUUUCUCUCAUUUGUUCGCUAUUUCUCUUGCUGCUUUCUCUCUCUACAGAUCUCUCUCUCGCUGCAAUCUCCCGCUCUCUCCCUUGGUUCUCUUGCUUGCUCUCUCGUCUCUCUGUUCUCUAUCUCUUAACCCUCUGUUCUCUGUCAACUCUGUGUUUUCUCCUCAUCUGCAACUCGAUCCCUUUUUCUCUCUUUUACCUUUUGCACUCUUUGUUUUCUCCUUUUGCACUCCCGACCUUUUGCCCUCUUUGUUUUCUCCUUUUGCACUCUCGACCUCAUUUCCAACUCUUUGUUCUCUUCAUUUGCAACUCUCUACCUUUUUCUCUCAUUUACAAGAGGGACCACCUUGUGUACUAUUCCC
rnacentral:lncRNA from 1 species